AGAUGAGGGCCGCAGGCCACGGGGAAACCCGGGCCCGUCCAUCUCUCUGAAUGGCCGCCAGAGGGCGCUACAAGGCUGCGUCCCAGAUUUUGGGCAGUCAGGUAGUUGCCACAAGGCUUCAGUAGGCCGUGAAAAAUGUGGCACGAGUGAAAACUAUUCCAAUGUAGAGUAUGAAAAUUAUAUGGAAAAAAUUGUUUUUCUGUAGGGAUGAGCAGAGUGUCUGCUUCACACAAGGAUCUUCAUUCAUUGUGGGAAAACACUGGAGACACAGCAGGAGCAUAAAAGGAAGAGGGCCUCCAUAUGUGAAUGCCAACAUUGCUGGGAGAGCACAGAAGAUCACGUAUCCCCUGAAUGGUGAGGAAGAAAAUGAACACACAGUAAGACACCCAUUGGGCCAGGAGGCAGCAGCAACAGCAAUCCCCAGAAAAGGAGUAGACCGCUGCUACAGGGACGGGGAGCCAUGUUUGACACUCAACUCACGUCUGGUUGUCCCAGUCCUGCUCCUUACAGUACAUGGGUGACUGUAACAACUGCAUCUUGAAACAUGGAUCACUACAAGGGCCUAAGCUGGAUGUGAGAGUCUAAGCCACCCAACACGAAUUAGUUCUAAAAGAGCUCCCUAGUAAGUGUCCUGCACACCACCGAUCAAUAACUUUUCAUCCUGGAGACAGUCCCAAGAGAACCAACCUACAAGACAGCUGCCAUUUGAUCGCUGGGUAUAAGCUCACCUCUGGAUCUGACUUGUGUCUUCUCUAACCCCAAGAAUCCGAGGUACAAAUUUGCAGCAUACCUACCACUCUCUUGGCCCAUGUAGUAAACUUGACCGAGAGAGGAAGUGUGUUCAUUAUCCUGUCAGGCCAAAGAUGCUCCUUCAGGUGGAGAGUAAUGGCACCGUUUCUUCAGUUUUCCCUGAAGUCCCAUCUGGAUUCAGCCUCUUCUGAGCUGAGUCGUACCAUCUAUCACAAUAAAGCGCACCACGGUCUCAGUCCUUUAACAGCC
ensembl:lncRNA